rnacentral:lncRNA from 1 species
GGGGCGGCGGCAUGGGGGCGGGGAGCGGGAUUUCACAUUUUAUUCCAAAUUAUGAUGUAUUCGGGAGCCAGUUGUUGGCUUGGGUGGGCGGACAGCGCCCGGUCGGCGGCUGCUCUGCCCGGAGGCCCGCCUGUGCCUUGGUGUUUGAGGGGUUCGUUGGUGAGUGGGAGGCUCCUCCAGGCUUGAAGCUGAGCAGCGCUCGCCGAGGCCGGCGCCUUCGAGCCGGUAGCUGCGGGCUUCGGUUCCCGCUGCACUCCGGCUUCGUCCAUUUCUGAUCGCCCAGGACCACACCGCAGCGUAACUGCAGGCCUCUCAGCGAAAAAGGGGGAAAGCAAAGACCCGGGUCUGCAUCCUCU